CUAGAUAGAUCGCGCCUCGUACAUUCUAAGGAAUGUGCAGAGCAAGGUCAAACUAAGAGCGAAAGCUCAAGCACUUAGCUUUAAGCGCCCACACUUAUCGGCUGUAUACAACAGUGAGUGAAAUCGCGUGCCUGUGGAGCUGGCCUCAACAAGCCUGGCGAUGAUGCAGAGCAACGCAAACAAGUUUUCGCGUGGGUCUGUAGCUCAGUCGGUUAGAGCACCGUCUUGAUAAGGCGGGGGUCGCUGGUUCGAAUCCAGCCAGACCCACCACGAGAGAUCGGGGGAUUAGCUCAGCUGGGAGAGCACCUGCUUUGCAAGCAGGGGGUCGUCGGUUCGAUCCCGUCAUCCUCCACCAGUUUCACUCAUUCAGUUGGUAAACCUUAGCGAAUAGCAAUGUUCGUUGAGGUUUACCAGCUCUUGAUCGAAAGAUCGGCUGUUGUUCUUUAACAAUUUGUAGAGUCGAAUCAGCGUUGUUAGCGGAAAGCGUCUCCUGACGCACCGUGCCGCUAACAACAUUUUGAUUGCGUCAAACAUAGACUUCAACUGAGCAAGAAAUUGUUUAGAUGAAGAACGGCGUAACGCGUGAAUACUCAAAAACAGUUUGGAUACUAAAUUUGAUUUAGAUCUGAAUUGAGUCCUUGACGACAGUGCAGUCAGCGCUGU
rnacentral:tRNA from 1 species